AGGCAGCAGUGAGGAAUAUUGGUCAAUGGGCGGAAGCCUGAACCAGCCAAGUCGCGUGAGGGAAUAAGGCCCUACGGGUCGUAAACCUCUUUUGCCGGGGAGCAAGGGCCGGGACGAGUCCCGGUCCGGAGAGUACCCGGAGAAAAAGCAUCGGCUAACUCCGUGCCAGCAGCCGCGGUAAUACGGAGGAUGCGAGCGUUAUCCGGAUUUAUUGGGUUUAAAGGGUGCGUAGGCGGGCUUUUAAGUCAGCGGUAAAAAUUCGGGGCUCAACCCCGUCCGGCCGUUGAAACUGGGGGUCUUGAGUGGGCGAGAAGAAGGCGGAAUGCGUGGUGUAGCGGUGAAAUGCAUAGAUAUCACGCAGAACCCCGAUUGCGAAGGCAGCCUUCCGGCGCCCUACUGACGCUGAGGCACGAAAGUGCGGGGAUCGAACAGGAUUAGAUACCCUGGUAGUCCGCACAGUAAACGA
rnacentral:rRNA from 1 species